rnacentral:rRNA from 1 species
GCGUAUAUAACCUACCUUUUAGCGGGGGAUAGCCCAGGGAAACUUGGAUUAAUAUCCCAUGGUAUGUAAGAUCCACCUGGAUUUUACAUUAAACAUUUAUGGCUAUUAGAUGGGUAUGCGUCCUAUUAGUUAGAUGGUAAGGUAACGGCUUACCAUGGCAGCGAUAGGUAGGGGUCCUGAGAGGGAGAUCCCCCACACUGGUACUGAGACACGGACCAGACUCCUACGGGAGGCAGCAGUGAGGAAUAUUGGACAAUGGAGGCAACUCUGAUCCAGCCAUGCCGCGUGCAGGAAGACUGC